rnacentral:lncRNA from 1 species
CAGUCUGUUCUUCUACGGACACCCCAGAGACCUCCGCCAGGCCCUUAUUUCUCAAAGUGGACGCUUUGGAUUUCCGUGAACGAACAAGUACGUCUCUAAACUCUGCAACUUCUCCUUCGGCUCACGACUUUUUCGUUGAAUCCUGGUUUAUUCCGUAGUCCUUUGAUCUGUUCCGUUGUCAAGUAAGACAUAGAACUCUGGAGCGUCCUUCAAUCAGGACAGGAAAUUUUCCCCUUCAAGCAGAAGGUACAGAUCCAGCUAUGAUGGUCAGUCUAACUCAUUGGCAAUCAGAUCCGAGAGUUGAGUCUUCUGACGUUCAUGAUAGACAGAAAAUAUUUUGGAGUCCGUCUGACCGUGUUAAAUGGAAUCAUGGGCCGUUUCCGACUUUAUUUCGGAGGUUAAAUUCUCAUCGAUCCCCAGUUUUGUUCGUAUGUAUCCCCAAACACUCUGGGCUGCUCCUCACCCCUCACCGUCACAUCGCGGCUACUGCGGCCACCAUCUCUUCUUGUUAGUUGAAAGAAGAACCAAGAACAAAGAAAAAUAGCAUUCGAUGGCGUGCUUCACCACCACGGCCUGGCGGCAGCCAACAGCAGCCUGACGAGUUCCAACCAGCGUCCUUCCGGGCACGAUAG